rnacentral:misc_RNA from 1 species
CCUUUCCUCCAUAAAGGAAUGACACACGAGUGAUAUGCAUUGUGUUGGAUUUGGUGACUGUUAUGUUGGAGUGUGGCGUGAAGAGACUUGGGGACAUUAAAUCACUGAGAGUUCUCAUGCAAGACGGACUCUGCCAUCACUUACUUACUGUAAAUGAGCAACUUUACGAAAACGAAUCUGUUGAUGUUUUUGGUCGCUCUUUGACAAAGUGCUUUCUUCUUUUUGAUUCAAAUUGUCAUCAUCUCAAACUACAGCUGGAGUGGUUCCUUAAUAAGCUAAUGCACACAAUACAAUUAGAUCAGUCAAGACUUCAAGCAGGCAGACUAGAGCUAACAUUAGAAUGUCUCAAUUCAAUUUUGUCACAUUCAUAAUUUUGUAUCAGAGUUAUAUGUUAAUUAUGAUUGCAGUACCUACUGUACUAACGUGUGCGAGAGACUGAGCAAACUACUUGCUAAGUACGGGGUAUUUUGCUAAAUAUUAUUACAGCAAGCAUUCCCCAGCUCUUAUCACACGAUAUCAUCAACCAACAUAAUUAGCAAUGGAAACACUACUGGCAAUGAUACUGGCAUUAGAAUCAACCAACACCACAUGUGUACUAAGAUUAAUGGAGGGAAAGUUGCAGGUGACUGUAAUAAAGGAGUAAGUGUGAAUUCAUCUGCUGGGAUCAUAUUCUCAUCAGAUAAGCAGCAGCAACCAGAUAUCAGUCUGAAUGGAGCAGAGAAGG